rnacentral:rRNA from 1 species
UUCGGUACAUCGGUGACAGGUGGUGCAUGGUUGUCGUCAGCUCGUGUCGUGAGAUGUUGGUUAAGUCCCGCAACGAGCGCAACCCCUAUUGUUAGUUGCCAUCAUUCAGUUGGGCACUCUAGCGAGACUGCCGGUAAUAAACCGGAGGAAGGUGGGGAUGACGUCAAAUCAUCAUGCCCCUUAUGACCUGGGCUACACACGUGCUACAAUGGUUGGUACAACGAGUUGCGAGUCGGUGACGGCGAGCUAAUCUCUUAAAGCCAAUCUCAGUUCGGAUUGUAGGCUGCAACUCGCCUACAUGAAGUCGGAAUCGCUAGUAAUCGCGGAUCAGCACGCCGCGGUGAAUACGUUCCCGAGCCUU